UACGGAAGGGGCAAGCGUUGUUCGGAAUCAUUGGGCGUAAAGGGCGCGUAGGUGGUUCUGUAUGUCUAUCGUGAAAGCAUACAGCUCAACUGUAUUUUGUCGGUAGAAACUGCAGGACUUGAGGCUGGGAGGGGCUGGUGGAAUUCCCUGUGUAGCGGUGAAAUGCGUAGAGAUGGGGGAGAACACUCGUGGCGAAGGCGGCCAGCUAGACCAGUUUUGACACUGAGGCGCGACAGCGUGGGGAGCAAACAGG
rnacentral:rRNA from 1 species